rnacentral:rRNA from 1 species
UACAGAGGUCUCGAGCGUUAGGCGGAAUCACUGGGCUUAAAGCGUGUGUAGGUGGAUCGUUAAGUACCUUGUGAAAUCCCACGGCUUAACCGUGGAACUGCUUGGUAUACUGGCGGUCUUGAGCCAGCUAGGGGCUACCGGAACAAAUGGUGGAGCGGUGAAAUGCGUAGAUAUCAUUUGGAACGCCAAUGGUGAAAACAGGUAGCUGGGGCUGUCCUGACACUGAGACACGAAAGCCAGGGGAGCAAACGGG